rnacentral:misc_RNA from 1 species
GGUGGAUGAAUGGUCAAGUAAAUUAUAUGAAGAAGAAGAGAGCACAGAUACAGAAAGGUCAACAAAAUUGAGAGGCCGGUAAGCGUGGUGGAAUGAUGAAUCUUAGCUUCUCUUCUUCUGCUGGGUGUAAAGUAAAGAAGGAAGAAGAGAGCAUAAAGAGCCACAUAUGGAAUAAUCAAUUUGUCUCGCCACAGAAGAGGAAACAUAGAAAACAAUGCAUAAUGCAUUAAUAACUUGAAUGGCCCACGCAAUUCUGUAGCUAGUAGGCUUGCAGGCAGAAGUGGCAGCAGAAUAGACUUCUCAUGCACUUGAAAUGAAAAUAAGUAGAAUGAGAAAGAGCUAUUCAACAGCCCAUAAAGGAAACCUUUUCUGCUCGGAGCCAAUAUUUGCUGAACCAUUGAAGGUAGACAGGUUAAUACGGUGGCUACUAAGCUGAGAAACUUCAGUGAUUGUGUUGCAAAUAAUCUCUUCCACUUAAUGAGAAUCGAUGUGGUGCACCAAAAGUUAGCUACAUAAUCCUCGUAUAUCCCUCUCUCAAAAGGAGCUAGGCGGAAGAGAACCUCCAAAACUGUAUCUCUUGAAUGAAGAUAUGGCCACCAAAUAAUAGUGAACGUUCCCAUGACCACCAAUCCCAGCUUUGAAACCUCAAGCACGGGAUUCUUACGCUUUAGGCAGUUACCUAAGAGAUGGCUGAAAAAAGCAGGUGCAAAAUAGGCACUCAUCUGCUUAUGAUUGAGAGAAAGACAGAAGAGAAAAGAUGCUACAAGGUCCUUG